rnacentral:rRNA from 1 species
AGAGUUUGAUCCUGGCUCAGAACGAACGCUGGCGGCAUGCCUAACACAUGCAAGUCGAACGCUUCCCCGGAUUUCGGUCUGGGGAGGAGUGGCGCACGGGUGAGUAGCGCGUGGGAACCUGCCCUGUUGUGGGGGAUAACCGAGGGAAACUUCGGCUAAUACCGCAUGCGCCCCGGGGAGUGAUCUUCGGGGGAAAGAUU